rnacentral:rRNA from 1 species
UACGUAGGGGGCAAGCGUUGUCCGGAUUUAUUGGGCGUAAAGAGCGUGUAGGCGGCUAGGUAGGUCCGUUGUGAAAACUCGAGGCUCAACCUCGAGACGCCGAUGGAAACCAUCUGGCUAGAGUCCGGAAGAGGAGAGUGGAAUUCCUGGUGUAGCGGUGAAAUGCGCAGAUAUCAGGAAGAACACCCGUGGCUAAGGCGGCUCUCUAGUACGGUACUGACGCUGAGACGCGAAAGCGUGGGUAGCGAACAGG